rnacentral:rRNA from 1 species
GACGAACGCUGGCGGCGUGCUUAACACAUGCAAGUCGAACGGUGAAGGGACCGGUCUUUGCUGGUUCUGGAUGAGUGGCGAACGGGUGAGUAACACGUGAGUAACCUGCCCCCUUCUUCUGGAUAACCGCAUGAAAGUGUGGCUAAUACGGGAUAUUCUGCGCCUGCUGCAUGGUGGGUGUGGGAAAGAUAUUGUUUCGGUGGGGGAUGGGCUCGCGGCCUAUCAGCUUGUUGGUGGGGUGAUGGCCUACCAAGGCGGUGACGGGUAGCCGGCCUGAGAGGGUGGACGGUCACACUGGGACUGAGACACGGCCCAGACUCCUACGGGAGGCAGCAGUGGGGAAUAUUGCACAAUGGGCGCAAGCCUGAUGCAGCGACGCCGCGUGAGGGAUGGAGGCCUUCGGGUUGUAAACCUCUUUCGCCAGUGAAGCAGGCCUGUCCCUUGUGUGGGUGGGUUGACGGUAGCUGGAGAAGAAGCGCCGGCUAACUACGUG